AGCAAAGGAGUUUAAUUGGUAAAGCAUCUGCUUAGCAAGCAUGAGGCCUUGAGUUCAAACCCCAGUAUUGCCU
rnacentral:tRNA from 1 species